GGACCCCACUGCUAUCGGGAUGGGACUAAGACAUGCUAGUCGAGCGUCUCUAAGCUAUGGAAGAGACGCGGCACACAGCUCAGUAACACGUGGCUAACCUGCCCUUGGGACAAGGACAACUCCGGGAAACUGGGGCUAAUCCCUGAUAGGUGAGAACUCCUGGAAUGGAUUCUCGCUGAAAGGACGUUUAGACCAUGCUUCUAGGCGUCGCCCAAGGAGGGGGCCGCGACCGAUCAGGUUGUUGGUGAGGUAACGGCUCACCAAGCCUUUAACCGGUACGGGCCGUGAGAGCGGGAGCCCGGAGAUGGGCACUGAGACAAGGGCCCAGGCCCUACGGGGCGCAGCAGUCGCGAAAACUCCGCAAUACACGAAAGUGUGACGGGGCUAUCCCGAGUGCCAUCCGCUGAGGAUGGCUUUUCCCCAGUGUAUAAAGCUGGGGGAAUAAGGAGAGGGCAAGCCUGGUGUCAGCCGCCGCGGUAAUACCAGCUCUCCGAGUGGUGGGGAUGUUUAUUGGGCCUAAAGCAUUCGUAGCCUGCUUGGCAAGUCCUCCGUUAAAUCCAACGAUUCAAUCGUUGGGCUGCGGGGGAUACUGUCCGGCUAGGGGGCGGGAGAGGCCGACGGUAUCCCCGGGGUAGGGGUGAAAUCCUAUAAUCCCGGGAGGACCACCAGUGGCGAAGGCUGUCGGCUAGAACGCGCUCGACGGUGAGGGAUGAAAGCUGGGGGAGCGAACCGGAUUAGAUACCCGGGUAGUCCCAGCUGUAAACGAUGCANGCUAGGUGUUGGCGCGGCUACGUGCCGCUCCAGUGCCGCAGGGAAGCCGUUAAGCCUGCCGCCUGGGAAGUA
rnacentral:rRNA from 1 species